rnacentral:piRNA from 2 species
UUGACAGAUGGCUGAGAUCAGAGAAGGUAGC